rnacentral:misc_RNA from 1 species
AUAGUUCAGACGUGCUGGAGGUUUUUCACUUCGUUAAGCAUGCGGAAGAAUUCUGGCUUACCUGGAUUCGUUACCUGCGGCUGGUCGUGGAUAUUUCCAACUGGAGUACAGCAUCGUAAAGCCAAAACUAUUGCAGAUUGUCUACAUGUUACCGGGAUACUGAUGUGUCAUACUGGAGUACCAAGUCAAGUUUCUUCAGACUAGACAGUCGACAUGUUGUCAGGAUACUGAUAUACUGAUAUACUCUACUUGAGGAGCAAGUCAAGUUUUUUCAGACUAGAUGGAAACAAGUCAAGUUUUUUCAGACUAGAUGGAAACAAGUCAAGUUUUUUCAGACUAGAUGGUUUACAUGUUACCGGGAUACUGAUGUACCAUACUGGAGGAAGAAUAUGAAUUAUGAGAAUGUUUUACAGCACCCCAGCACAUGGUUUUGUCUUCUUCUUGGCAGUGUACAAUGAACAGAAUGUUUUACAGCACCCCAGCACAUGGUUUUGUCUUCUUGGCAGUGUACAAUGAACAGAUUGUUUUACAGCACCCCAGCACAUGGUUUUGUCUUCUUGGCAGUGUACAAUGAACAGAUUGUUUUACAGCACCCCAGCACAUGGUUUUGUCUUCUUCUUGGCAGUGUACAAUGAACAGAUUGUUUUACAGCACCCCAGCACAUGGUUUAGUCUUCUUGGCAGUGUACAAUGAACAGAUUGUUUUACAGCACCCCAGCACAUGGUUUUGUCUUCUUCUUGGCAGUGUACAAUGAACAGAUUGUUUUACAGCACCCCAGCACAUGGUUUUGUCUUCUUCUUGGCAGUGUACAAUGAACAGAUUGUUUUACAGCACCCCAGCACAUGGUUUAGUCUUCUUGGCAGUGUACAAUGAACAGAUUGUUUUACAGCACCCCAGCACAUGGUUUUGUCUUCUUGGCAGUGUACAAUGAACAGAUUGUUUUACAGCACCCCAGCACAUGGUUUUGUCUUCUUCUUGGCAGUGUACAAUGAACAAAUUGUUUUACAGCACCCCAGCACAUGGUUUAGUCUUCUUGGCAGUGUACAAUGAACAGAUUGUUUUACAGCACCCCAGCACAUGGUUUUGUCUUCUUCUUGGCAGUGUACAAUGAACAGAUUGUUUUACAGCACCCCAGCACAUGGUUUAGUCUUCUUGGCAGUGUACAAUGAACAGAUUGUUUUACAGCACCCCAGCACAUGGUUUAAUUACCAAGAAAAGAGAUGUUUAACAUCUAUACAUCAUGUGUUUUAAAGUGACACACCCAAGUUUUUAAAGGGACAGAUCUUAGUUUUUAAACACAUAAAGGCAUAUUUUUCACUAUCACAGCCGUUUAUGAUCACUGAAAUCAAACAUUACUGGUAUUUUAGUGUUUAGAGUAUCCAUUUCCAUACAUCCAAAGUGUUUUUGGUCAUCCUGGUGUUUCUAAUACCACAAAAUACAUUUUUUAUAUUUUUAAAAACACAUGUGCGUCUGAGAAGUAACUGUUAUGGAGUCGCCUUUU